rnacentral:rRNA from 1 species
UACAGAGGGGGCAAGCGUUGUUCGGAAUUACUGGGCGUAAAGGGCGCGUAGGCGGCCCGCUAAGUCGAACGUGAAAUCCCUGGGCUCAACCCAGGAACUGCGUCCGAUACUGGCAGGCUUGAAUCCGGGAGAGGGAUGUGGAAUUCCAGGUGUAGCGGUGAAAUGCGUAGAUAUCUGGAGGAACACAGGUGGCGAAGGCGGCAUCCUGGACCGGUAUUGACGCUGAUGCGCGAAAGCCAGGGGAGCAAACGGG